CACGUAGUUGGCCGGUGCUUCUUCUGCAGCUACCGUCACUUGCGCUUCGUCCCUGCUGAAAGAGGUUUACAACCCGAAGGCCGUCAUCCCUCACGCGGCGUUGCUGGAUCAGGCUUUCGCCCAUUGUCCAAUAUUCCCCACUGCUGCCUCCCGUAGGAGUCUGGGCCGUGUCUCAGUCCCAGUGUGGCCGGUCACCCUCUCAGGCCGGCUACCCGUCGUUGCCUUGGUAGGCCAUUACCCCACCAACAAGCUGAUAGGCCGCGAGCUCAUCCUCCACCGCCGGAACUUUCCACCACCAUCAGAUGCCUGAAGUGGUCGUAUCGGGUAUUAGCCACCGUUUCCGGUGGUUAUCCCCGUGUGAAGGGCAGAUUGCUCACGUGUUACUCACCCGUUCGCCGCUCGUGUACCCCCGAAGGGGCCUUACCGCUCGACUUGCAUGUGUUAAGCACGCCGCCAGCGUUCGUCCUGAGCCAGGAUCAAACUCU
rnacentral:rRNA from 1 species